rnacentral:rRNA from 1 species
GACGUAGGGCGCGAGCGUUGUCCGGAUUUAUUGGGCGUAAAGAGCUCGUAGGCGGUUUGUCGCGUCGUCUGUGAAAACCCACGGCUCAACUGUGGGCUUGCAGUCGAUACGGGCAGGCUAGAGUUCAGUAGGGGAGACUGGAAUUCCUGGUGUAGCGGUGAAAUGCGCAGAUAUCAAGAGGAACACCGGUGGCGAAGGCGGGUCUCUGGGCCGAUACUGACGCUGAGGAGCGAAAGCGUGGGGAGCGAACAGG